rnacentral:rRNA from 1 species
AGACGGAGGGGGCGAGCGUUGUUCGGAAUUACUGGGCGUAAAGCGCGCGUAGGCGGCCUGCCAAGUGCAUCGUGAAAGCCCUCGGCUCAACCGAGGAAGGGCGUUGCAAACUGGUGGGCUAGAGUUUCGGAGGGGGAUGCGGAAUUCCUGGUGGAGCGGUGAAAUGCGUAGAGAUCAGGAAGAACGUCGGUGGCGAAGGCGGCAUCCUGGACGAGAACUGACCCUGAGGCGCGAGAGCGUGGGGAGCGAACGGCAUUAGAAACCCUAGUAGUUC